AUUAUUGAAGGGCAGAACGGGCAGCUGCCACGCCUUAGAAAUAAGGUCUUUCAAGAGAUGUAGGGUUGCCAACCUACUCAGUAAU
rnacentral:ncRNA from 2 species